UUAUUGUUAUGGUUUGAAAAACGAAGUACAUUGAAUAUUUGACAAAUUUAUUUUAUCUUUCAUAUGGAUUCAUAUAAUUAUCAAACCCUUAUAAAAUUAGAAAAUUUGGGAAGAAUACUCUCUGAUUUACUUGAAAAAGUGGAUAAUGAAAUUAAUCAGACUGAUGUCGAGUGGCUUCAUUUAAAAAGUAUAUCUGAGUGAAAAAAGAAGUUCCCACUGAGAAACCACAAAAUACAAAUUCUUGUUUCUCAAAAAUGGAAAAUGAAAAUAUUGACGAUCAUUCUGUUAAUUCCAUAACACUUGAUUUAAACCCUCUCGGACAAAAUUGUUUUAACCGAAGAAAUGAUGAAGAAUUCGAUAGUGAUUGACUCUUUCCCCUUGUUUAAAUGUUCUAGAUUGUAAGUUUAAAUGCUUAAUCAUAUAUAAUAUAAGUAAGUACUAUACUGUUUA